rnacentral:rRNA from 1 species
UACGAAGGGGGCUAGCGUUGCUCGGAAUUACUGGGCGUAAAGCGUGCGCAGGCGGUUCGUUGUGUCGGUGGUGAAAUCCCCGGGCUUAACCUGGGAAUGGCCAUGGAAACUGGCGAACUGGAGUGCGGCAGAGGGGGGUGGAAUUCCGCGUGUAGCAGUGAAAUGCGUAGAGAUGCGGAGGAACACCGAUGGCGAAGGCAGCCCCCUGGGCUAGCACUGACGCUCAGGCACGAAAGCGUGGGGAGCAAACAGG